rnacentral:rRNA from 1 species
AGAGUUUGAUCCUGGCUCAGAGCGAACGCUGGCGGCAGGCUUAGCACAUGCAAGUCGAACGGGCAUCCUUCGGGGUGUCAGUGGCAGACGGGUGAGUAACACGUGGGAACGUACCCUUCGGUUCGGAAUAACUCAGGGAAACUUGAGCUAAUACCGGAUACGCCCUUACGGGGAAAGGUUUACUGCCGAAGGAUCGGCCCGCGUCUGAUUAGCUAGUUGGUGGGGUAACGGCCUACCAAGGCGACGAUCAGUAGCUGGUCUGAGAGGAUGAUCAGCCACACUGGGACUGAGACACGGCCCAGACUCCUACGGGAGGCAGCAGUGGGGAAUAUUGGACAAUGGGCGAAAGCCUGAUCCAGCCAUGCCGCGUGAGUGAUGAAGGCCUUAGGGUUGUAAAGCUCUUUCGACGGGGACGAUAAUGACGGUACCCGUAGAAGAAGCCCCGGCUAACUUCGUGCCAGCAGCCGCGGUAAUAC